GUGGGGAAUUUUGGACAAUGGGCGCAAGCCUGAUCCAGCAAUGCCGCGUGCAGGAAGAAGGCCUUCGGGUUGUAAACUGCUUUUGUACGGAACGAAACGGUCCUGGUUAAUACCUGGGGCUAAUGACGGUACCGUAAGAAUAAGCACCGGCUAACUACGUGCCAGCAGCCGCGGUAAUACGUAGGGUGCGAGCGUUAAUCGGAAUUACUGGGCGUAAAGCGUGCGCAGGCGGUUUUGUAAGAUCGAUGUGAAAUCCCCGGGCUCAACCUGGGAACUGCAUUGGUGACUGCAAGGCUGGAGUGCGGCAGAGGGGGAUGGAAUUCCGCGUGUAGCAGUGAAAUGCGUAGAUAUGCGGAGGAACACCGAUGGCGAAGGCAAUCCCCUGGGCCUGCACUGACGCUCAUGCACGAAAGCGUGGGGAGCAAACAGGAUUAGAAACCCGGGUAGUCC
rnacentral:rRNA from 1 species